UGAGGAAUAUUGGUCAAUGGACGAGAGUCUGAACCAGCCAAGUAGCGUGAAGGAUGACUGCCCUAUGGGUUGUAAACUUCUUUUAUAAGGGAAUAAAGUGACCCACGUGUGGGUUUUUGUAUGUACCUUAUGAAUAAGGAUCGGCUAACUCCGUGCCAGCAGCCGCGGUAAUACGGAGGAUCCGAGCGUUAUCCGGAUUUAUUGGGUUUAAAGGGUGCGUAGGCGGCCCCUUAAGUCAGCGGUGAAAGUCUGUGGCUCAACCAUAGAAUUGCCGUUGAAACUGGGGGGCUUGAGUAUGUUUGAGGCAGGCGGAAUGCGUGGUGUAGCGGUGAAAUGCUUAGAUAUCACGAAGAACUCCGAUUGCGAAGGCAGCUUACUGGACUGUAACUGACGCUGAUGCUCGAAAGUGUGGGUAUCAAACAGG
rnacentral:rRNA from 1 species